UCUCACAAAAGAAACGUCAAAGAUUAAUGAAAGGAUUAUGCGUCUGUUCUAUGACAUGUAACCUGUGUUUCCACAGUUCCAAUUAAAAAAUAUCCGGUUUUAAAGUUCGCGUGUGCAAUUUCAAAACCUAAUUAAAAUUUACAAAUCAAACAGUGAUAAACAGUGACGUACCACAGAUUAAAAUCACUUAAAGUUAAUAGUACGGACUGAGGAAGGACAGCACUACAAACGGGCCUCACGUCGCAAUGAAAGCAUUCAUCAACCAAGAAAUGCAUUUGCUAGUAGCAACACAAGUAAUGAUCAAAAAGCCAGCGAAAAA